CCUACGGGCGGCAGCAGUGAGGAAUAUUGGUCAAUGGACGAGAGUCUGAACCAGCCAAGUAGCGUGAAGGAUGACUGCCCUAUGGGUUGUAAACUUCUUUUAUAUGGGAAUAAAACAGGGUAUGCAUACCCUCUUGUAUGUACCCUAUGAAUAAGGAUCGGCUAACUCCGUGCCAGCAGCCGCGGUCAUACGGAGGAUGCGAGCGUUAUCCGGAUUUAUUGGGGUUAAAGGGUGCGUAGGCGGAAGGUUAAGUCAGCGGUCAAAUGUCGGUGCUCAACACCGGCCUGCCGUUGACACUGGUGUUCUUGAGUUAGCGAGAAGUAUGCGGAAUGCGUGGUGUAGCGGUGAAAUGCAUAGAUAUCACGCAGAACCCCGAUUGCGAAGGCAGCAUACCGGCGCUAAACUGACGCUGAGGCACGAAAGCGUGGGGAUCGAACAGGAUUAGAUACCCGUGUAGUC
rnacentral:rRNA from 1 species